CCUCCGCCAGCAUCGCCACCACCAUUGACACCGCUCCGAGUCUCCAGUUGCGCCCAUGCCUGUGCCGCCAGUUUCGGUUUAGGGGCUGAACCGCAGGGGCUGAAGAAAAUGGGGCAGAGCGCGCCCCGGACCCUCCUGCUGCUGCUGGCGGGGCUGCUGGGGGAGGCUCUGGCGGGGUUCCCCAACACCAUCAGUAUAGGUGGACUUUUCAUGAGGAACACUGUUCAGGAGCACAGUGCGUUUCGAUUUGCUGUGCAGUUAUACAACACGAACCAAAAUACCACAGAAAAGCCCUUCCAUUUGAACUAUCAUGUAGAUCACUUGGACUCUUCCAACAGUUUUUCAGUGACAAAUGCUUUCUGUUCACAGUUUUCCAGAGGAGUUUAUGCCAUCUUUGGAUUCUAUGACCAGAUGUCAAUGAACACACUGACAUCAUUUUGUGGAGCCCUUCACACAUCCUUCAUCACACCCAGCUUCCCAACAGAUGCAGAUGUGCAGUUUGUCAUCCAGAUGAGGCCAGCAUUAAAAGGAGCCAUCUUGAGUCUCUUGACUUACUAUAAGUGGGAAAAGUUUGUGUACCUCUAUGACACAGAACGGGGAUUUUCUAUUCUUCAGGCGAUUAUGGAAGCAGCAGUACAGAACAACUGGCAAGUGACAGCCAGAUCUGUAGGAAGCAUAAAGGAUGUUCAAGAGUUCAGAAGAAUUAUAGAGGAGAUGGACAGACGGCAAGAAAAAAGAUACUUAAUUGACUGUGAAGUAGACAGAAUCAACACCAUUUUGGAACAGGUUGUAGUCCUCGGCAAACAUUCUAGAGGCUAUCACUACAUGUUAGCUAACCUGGGUUUCACAGACAUUGUUCUGGAGAGAGUAAUGCAUGGAGGUGCCAACAUUACUGGAUUCCAGAUUGUUAAUAAUGAAAACCCAAUGGUUCAACAAUUUCUACAGCGCUGGGUGAGGCUUGACGAAAGGGAAUUCCCUGAAGCUAAAAACUCACCAUUAAAGUACACAUCUGCACUGACCCACGAUGCAGUCCUGGUCAUAGCAGAGGCUUUCCGUUACCUCCGAAGACAGCGUGUGGAUGUCUCCAGGAGAGGCAGUGCUGGAGACUGCCUGGCUAACCCUGCAGUACCAUGGAGCCAAGGAAUUGAUAUAGAGAGAGCACUGAAAAUGGUGCAAGUUCAAGGAAUGACAGGGAACAUCCAGUUCGACACCUAUGGGCGGAGAAUGAAUUACACAAUUGAUGUGUAUGAAAUGAAAGCUGGUGGGUCACGGAAGGCUGGUUAUUGGAAUGAAUAUGAAAGAUUUGUGCCAGCAUUAGAUCAGCUCCCCUCUAAUGACAGCUCAUCUGUGGAGAACAGAACUAUAGUAGUCACUACCAUCUUGGAAUCACCAUAUGUAAUGUAUAAGAAAAACCAUGAACAACUAGAAGGGAAUGAGAGAUAUGAAGGAUAUUGUGUAGACUUAGCUUCUGAAAUAGCAAAACAUGUUGGAAUAAAAUACAAACUGUCAAUUGUUGGAGAUGGGAAAUAUGGAGCUAGGGACCCUGAGACUAAGAUAUGGAAUGGCAUGGUGGGUGAACUGGUCUAUGGGAGAGCAGAUAUAGCUGUUGCCCCCCUCACCAUAACACUGGUGCGAGAAGAAGUCAUAGACUUUUCCAAACCCUUUAUGAGCCUGGGCAUCUCCAUCAUGAUCAAGAAGCCUCAGAAAUCUAAACCGGGCGUAUUCUCUUUCCUGGAUCCUUUGGCUUAUGAAAUUUGGAUGUGUAUAGUCUUUGCUUACAUUGGCGUCAGCGUAGUUCUUUUCCUAGUCAGCAGAUUCAGCCCUUAUGAAUGGCACUUGGAAGACAGCACUGAAGAACCACGUGACCCUCAGAAUCCUCCUGACCCUCCAAAUGAGUUUGGAAUAUUUAACAGCCUUUGGUUUUCCCUGGGUGCCUUUAUGCAGCAAGGAUGCGAUAUUUCUCCAAGGUUUGUUCCAUGUCACUCCAUCACCUUUUUGCAUUUUAUGGUCAUUUUCUGAUGCCAUGGUGCAUAUACGUUACUUUUUCAAAUUUCUUUUUUAAUUCCAAAUUUUUUAUUUUGAGAUUCCAUUCAAUGUUCAGCAUCAUCUUCAAGCCACCAUGCUUGCUAACAUUCACCUCCAGAGUGAGUAGCAUUGCUUAUAAUGCCAUUUAUGCAUUUCUGCCAGACUUAUAUUCACCAUGUUAAGGCUGUAAAAUGCAUAGGGUUUUCUGUUUUCAGCAAUGCUUGGAGGGCUACCGUGUUUUUGCUGCAUAUCUCAUUUUACGGUCAUCUCCUUGGUGCAUAAAACACAUUCUGCUUUGCAAAAUAAGAAUUAUUUAUUUUUGAAAGUCACAUGCAACAGCACUUUAAAGCAUCUCCACUCCCAUUAAGGCUCCUGCUAGUCUUUUUACUUUCUUUUGAGCCUAAUUUCUCCGGUUUUGUUUUUCUUGAACCAUCCUUUCAUCUAUUAGUAAUUUGCUUUUCACCACAUUUUUGCAUAUAUUUGGGUCUCUGUAUUCACUGUGUCUGUACUGCCUUGUAUCUCUAUUGUUAUUUCAGUCCAGUCUAAUCUGUUGUCCCUCUAUUCAUAGUCAAUAUGGUCUAAUAAGCAUUGCCAGUUUCCAUAAAGAUAUUUCUUAUUCAUGAAGACAGUCUUUCUGGAUAAGGCUGUAGUAAAGUAUGUUUGACAUUAGUUCCAGUGUAACCGAGAACAGGGCUAUUAACUAUUGUAGACUUAAUUUCUGUAUUUGAAAAACCAGCUGAGAAUAGUGAGGUUCCAUCUGAUUGAACAGUGCAUACCACAGAUGUUUUUUGAAUAACAUAUAGCAUGUUUCUGCAUUUACACUGGUAAAAUGCUUUAGUGAUAUGCUUGUGAUAAGCAGUAAAAUUAUCUAGUUUCUUAGUGAGGGAGCACUAAUUAUAUUUUGUAUGACAAUAAUCUAAUAAUCAGUUUACAGCUAUUUUAAUUAUUCCAAAUACCUGCUUAGUACAAACAGGAUGCAGUUUUUCCAUUUAACAAGGUUGCUAUUUAGAGGAAGAGAGGCAGAUCAUUUCUGAGCAUUGGCAUUUGAAAUGCACCUUUUUAAUCUCCACGUUUGUUACCUUUUUCAAUACCUGAAUCACUGAAAAGUCGCCAGGUUUUCCUGGUCCAUAUAGCAGUGGGGUUCUUGAGUAGCCCCCAUGAAACAAGUGACUAUGAAGUUUCAUGGGAAAGAUCAUGAUUUUACCUGUUAUAGUGUAACAACAAUCCUCUAAAUUCACAGUCGUUGCAUAUUCAAAUGUCCUUCUGACGGCAGUGAGAUCCAGGACUUUGGUAGUUACUGGUGUGUGCCUGGUGAUAUUUGAUGCAAGUCACGCCCACAUUUUAAAAGUCUUGACAGCAGCAAUUGUAUUUCAUUCUUACCAACGAAUCCAUGUGUACCCUCUGUAGCACACACACGUUUUGCCCUGGCUGUGACCACGUGUCAGUUUUCCCGGUUCCCUGUGCCUGGGUGUGCUGCCUCCCUGUGUGGUUACAGCUGUCGGUCUGUUCUUCCUGUUCACGCUCCGUGUUUCUGCUUUAUGCCUAAAUCCUGCACUGAAACUUUGCCUCCCUGCUUGCUGUGGAAGGGGAUGAGCAGUGAUAACAUUUAAAUUGCUGUUGACCAUGUGUGUGCCCAACAUAAAGGACCGGGAAAUAAGCACUGGGACAUCACAUGGAAAGCUGCAGGCAUUGCACUGUUUCCACUAGGUCUGGUUAUUGACAGUUAAAUAGAAGUGCAUAGGAUUUUUGUUAAGCUCUCAUGUGACUCUUUGGUAUGUUCAGCCAUUUCCCUUAUAUAACAAGAGGAACAUAAUCUGGUUUUUCUCAAUAGUACCAUGAUAAGUGCCUUGGAUAUACCUACAAUAAAGAAAAGAGGCAGCAGUAUACCUAUUUAUUUUAACUGUCCAUCAGAAGCUAUUAGCUCAGUAUUAAUAUAUAACCCUUGUUUGAAAACAUUGUCCAGUUCUUUUGUUAUCUUCUAUGAUAACAUUCCAGACAGUUACAUGCAUUGUUACUGAAAAGAAAGACAAAUUUAACACUUGGGUUUAAAUUCCAGAAACACUGUUUCUUUGACCUAUAUGUUGAUUUAAGUUGAUUAAAAUGUCAAAUUUCUUUUCCGUAGAAGGGACUAUUCCCAAGUAUUCCAUUCUUAAUCCGUAUCUUUGUAAGGUUACGCCGUUCACAGUACAUUGACUAUAUGAAUGUUUCAUACUAUUUUAUUGCCAUUAAAAGGGGCUUCAUUCUUCCAUUGUGAGUUUUGUCUGAAUAAAUUUCUUAUAUGAGAGCAUACAGCACUUGUAGAGAGAUGCCGACAAGCAGUCUGGAGAGAUCACUUUUGUACUUGCUGAUAAAGGCUCUUUCAGCUGCCUUUGUGUGGAACAGCUGUGACAUCUAAUGACUAGUUAGAUCUGUCCUCGGUGAGUAUGCUGUGUGGAUAUUCCAGAGGAUAUAUCCCUAUACUCUCCUCUCUAUAUUUAAUAGGAGUCGUCUAAACAGAAUCAGAGAGCAGCCAAAGGGUGGGGGUUAGUGCACCCCUUGAUGGAAUCAACACUUAUUUCAGCAGUUUUGUUCUGCUAUCAAAGGCUGCUGUGUUUUCUGCAUAGUGAGCUAAAGCAUUGAAAAUUCACUUUUGAUGGAUCAAAAGUAGAUUAUUAAACUUGCUUUUAUGUGAGAUGUGUACAGCAAAUGGAAUCAGGAAAAGACACAGUCAGAUUUGUAACACUGUUUUGAGCGAAUGUAUCUUUGAAAACUCUAUGUGAGCAUGUAUUUUCAUUUUGCUCUUUAUUCAUGUAGAACAAAGAGGCUAGAUUAAUUAAUUGCUGAUGGAAAAAGACAGGGGGUUCAUUAAAAACUGUCUCAAGAGGUUGGUCAUUUUGAGGGUGUAUUUCUAGGUCCCUGUUUUAACAGCAGGAGACUCGAGAGACUCCUAUUAAAGGCCAUGGGAAUGACUUUGUGGGACUUUCACAGUAACAAUGAGAGCCAGGUAACUAGAGAUUUCUGAAACUCCCACUGCCAUUCCUAUGAUGGAAGCAUCUCAAGCCAGUGCUUUAGAUGCUGUUGUUGAGUGUGUUGUGUCCCUGUAGCUGAGGCGAGGGCUGGCUGGGUGAGAGAGCGAGGGGCUGGGCUCGCAGGUAAUGUGUGCUCAGAAUAUCAAGGGCUUCUAGACCAGGAUAGUUUGUACCAAAGUUGUUCAGGGUUAUUUGUCAGUACAGCAACCACCUUGUGUCGAUCCAGAGAGCCCAAUUAAAGACUGAGUAGUUGUGAGAAGCUUAUUAUUUCUGUGUACUAUAGGAAAUCAAAUAUGUUUUAUGGCCAUGAGCAGAAACAAAAUUCAAGCUAUCUUGAUAAAUGAGGUUUUGGUUGAAUGUAUUAUUCUCCUGGAAACUGAAUGUGAAUUUGAAUAUUUAUUUUGUUUUUUCUCUCGUUACUAAUUUGCUCUCAUUUGACUCCAUGCUUCCUUUUAAAUUUCCUCUCAAGAUCUCUCUCAGGGCGAAUUGUCGGAGGAGUCUGGUGGUUCUUCACUCUCAUCAUUAUCUCUUCCUACACUGCUAAUCUCGCUGCCUUCCUUACGGUGGAAAGGAUGGUUUCACCCAUAGAGAGCGCAGAGGACCUGGCUAAACAAACCGAAAUAGCCUAUGGCACUUUGGAUUCAGGUUCAACCAAAGAAUUCUUUAGAAGGUCAAAAAUAGCUGUCUACGAGAAAAUGUGGUCGUACAUGAAGUCGGCCGAGCCUUCGGUGUUCACCAAAACGACGGCGGACGGGGUGGCGAGGGUGCGGAAGUCCAAGGGGAAGUUUGCCUUCCUGCUGGAGUCGACGAUGAACGAGUACAUCGAGCAGCGCAAGCCCUGCGACACCAUGAAAGUUGGAGGCAACCUGGAUUCCAAGGGCUAUGGUGUAGCAACCCCCAAAGGCUCAGCAUUAAGGUGGGUGGAAUAAUAUAACAAUAUCCAUGUUGUUAUAGUAUUCCACCUACCCUGAUGUAUUGUGUUGUCAUUUUCUUUCUUGUGGAUUUUGAGGUAACUUUAAAGUUUAAAAUCUUCAAUAUUCCAUGGAGUUAAAUAAGACGGUAAAUUAUGGUUUCAUUUAUUUAAUGCAUCCAUUUUUUGUGUUCUCUUCGUGUUGUCCUUUCUGAUUGUUUGUUGCUGUUUUAAUUUUACAGUUCAAUGGCUUUUUCAAUUUAAAUGGUAAAAGCCAAGUUAACCUGCCAUAUGUGACGAAUGUUAACUGCAUGAUGUGGUGUUCUUGUUACUUUUUUUCUCAAAGACGAUUUCCCCAUCCCGCACACUUCAGUUUUGAGCAAAUGUUAUCCUCCAUGCCACCUUCCAAUAUUUAACCCUGUAUUUGCUGUACAGACAUUUUGAUAGCUCCACGUUCUGUGAAAUUUUAGCCAAUUUGUCCUCUUGUGCUCCUUUUUUUAUACGUUACGAUUUCCUAAGCAUUUGUGCAUUUUUUCUUACAAGUUAUGUUUUAUCGUUUCAAGAAAUGCUGUUAACCUGGCAGUAUUAAAACUGAAUGAGCAAGGCCUCUUGGACAAAUUGAAAAACAAAUGGUGGUACGACAAAGGAGAGUGCGGCAGCGGGGGAGGUGACUCCAAGAACUCCUGUAAACCUUGCAGUAUUGAAACUCAGUGAACAAGGCAUCUUAGACAAGCUGAAAAACAAAUGGUGGUACGAUAAGGGUGAAUGUGGAGCCAAGGACUCCGGAAGUAAGGACAAGACGAGCGCUCUGAGCCUGAGCAAUGUUGCUGGGGUGUUCUAUAUCCUUGUGGGAGGCCUGGGGCUGGCCAUGAUGGUGGCACUGAUCGAGUUCUGCUACAAGUCUCGGGCCGAGUCCAAGCGAAUGAAACUCACCAAGAACACGCAGAACUUCAAACCUGCUCCCUCCACCAACACCCAGAAUUACGCUACCUACAGAGAAGGCUACAACGUGUACGGCACAGAAAGUGUGAAAAUCUAGGGAUCCUCACCCUGACAGCAUGCAAGAGGAAAAGCAGCAGAGAAUGUGGCUACUUCAUGGAUUUGGACCACCUGAGCCAGUCGUACUCUCUCCGAGGUGUCAGGCGUGACACGCGUUGAUGAUGGUGCAAUGUACUUUUAAUAGGAAAAACUGAUUUUUUUUUUCCUUCAGUGCCUUAUGGAAGACUCUGAGACUCACAACAAUGCAAACCAUCAGUGAAAUAUUCUUGCUUUGCUUGAAAGAAGUAAAAGAAAAGAAGAGAGGAAAACGAAAGAAAAAGAAAAUUUAAAAAAAAAAAAGAGAAAAAGAAAAUAAAACCAAAAAAAAAAAAAAAAGAAAAAUGAGAAAAAGAGAAAAGGAAAAAGAAAAGGAAAGGACGGGUAACAAGAUGUUGGUAUGAGAAAAAAAAUUCUUGUAAUAAAAAUCAGUGCAACAAAAGCCAUUCUUUGAUACCACUGCACAGUAACUGAACUUGUGUCCUGAAAGCAAAUCGCAGCCGGUUUCCUCAGCCACCCCAAUCGUAUCAAAUUAUGAAACUCCUCCUGACACAAAGCCUCAGAAAUCUGCUGCGUGCGAGCACGGACCGGCCUGCCACUGCUUGUAGGAGCUGAUGUCAAGAUGUUUCAGUAUUUACUUACAGUGGUGUGAUUUUAUUUUUUUUUCUGAGCCACUUUGAUCUCUCCAGCUAAUUUGAGCAAUUCUGUAUAACAGUAAAAGGUGUAACACCUGAAGAAAAGAGUCUGUGCAUUCAAACCAAUUAAGGUCAAUGACCGUGAAUCCGUAAAUCCAAAAGAAGGGAAUUUGUGGAACUGCAUGUCUUGCUUCCAGAUCAAUAAAUUAAUUCCUUGACAAGGUAGCUAAAGUGCAGGCAGAAAAUAUUGCAUUCCUUUUUUUGUUCUAUCAUCAGGCAUACCUACAGGUGCUUUAUUAAAAUGACAUUGGGUGGCUUUUAAAAUAAAAAAAUAAAGGAAAAGCUACUUGCUGUUUAGGUUCAGACCAUAUAUCUCUUUUCUUGCUGUGCAUUUGCAUUUUAAUUCACUGUUUAAUAUCAAGCAAUGAAGCAAGAGAAGGGCAGGUUAGUUUUUUCCCAGGCCUGCUUCUGCUUCACCCCAGUUCUCUCCCAACUAGCACUGUGCUCAGCUAAUGCUUCUCAGUAAUGGUCCUUGUAAAACAGAAGUAAGAGAAGAGGAUAGUAACUCAAAUUAGAGCUGCAGUUCCAGAGUAAUAGUAAGCGAUCUAACAUGACUCCUGCUAGUACUGUUAUAUUAUAUCAGCUCCUGCCAACUCUUGUUUCAUGGCUCCUGGUGAGAGGAUGCUCCUGUCCCUGCCUCUCAGUGAGGAGGACACCGCACUCCACCAGCUCUGCUCCAGGCAGGGGCUCGCUAUUACUCACAUCCAGCGUCUUAGACAGCAGCAUUUCAGCCUUGAACCUCUGCCUGGAAACUACUGAACUUCAUCUUUAAAAAUAAAAAUUUAAAAAAAAAAAAAAAGGAAAAGACAAAAAAAAAAAAAAAAAAAGGAAACCACAAACCUUUAAACAUAUUGUCAAUCACAUGGGAAAUGUUCAGUGGAAUAUCUGCAUACUAAUUACCUCUAAUCGACAAUAUGUAUUUUCUGUAGUUUACGAUAUAGAGUUUUAUUUCAUCAGUAACAUACAAUGAAAAAGAAACUCAUUUAAACCAGUCUGACCCUUAGGCGUUUAGUUUGCUGAUGAUAGAUUUGAACUUUUAAUAGGAUUUAAAAACAAAAACAAAAAAAAAAAAAAAAAGAAAAAGAAAGUCUCGUAAAAAAUAAGUAUUUCCAACAAACUGUAAUAUAAAAUCAUUUUAAAAGCUCAUAGGAGAAUAAUUUAUUGUUCGAGUUUUUAACAAGAUAUUGACAAAAAAAUUGUUGUUUUGUUUUCGUUUUCUUUUCAUGAAACUGUGAUCUUUUUUUUUUCGACUUCUGAACGCGAUCACGUCCCCAGCAAGGGCGAGCUAAAGCUGUGCGGUUAUGAGUUGUAUUUAAAACAAACAUUUUUCUUAAAAGCUGUAUAAAAGAUGUAUGUUUAUCAGAUCAAUUUUUAAGAGUGGAGGCUUCACACCAGUGAAGGGAGUUUGGUAAAUGGUUCGAUAUUUUUUAAACUUGCAUGUAAAGCUAAAACAAAAUGUGUUGAGUGCUUACCAAUUUCGGCUACCAACUUCAAGCUAUUGGAAGUUCGGCAGUAGUCUCACAAUGAUUUGUUUUGGUAUAUUUUUUUUAAUUUGUUUUGCUUUGGGGGAUUUGGGGGUUCUUUCCUUUUGGGGUAUUUUCCCUCCUUUUCUUUUUCUUUUUUUUUGUAAUUUAAGUUCCUAUUUUUGGUCGUUGAAACUGCACUUCAGUGAGCAGAAAAAUUGCCAAGCAAACUAAUGGCUGUAAAAGCAUAAACUGCAUGUGUGGGCAUCAAUUACUGAGCCUCAUUUUGAUGAGGUGUUGUACAAAGAGUUUUAAUACAUUUUGUAAAUAAAACUGUAAA